rnacentral:rRNA from 1 species
AGUGAACGCUGGCGGUAGGCCUAACACAUGCAGGUCGAACGGCAGCACAGUAAUAGCUUGCUCUUACGGGUGGCGAGUGGCGGACGGGUGAGGAAUACAUCGGACUCUACUUUUUCGUGGGGGAUAACGUAGGGAAACUUACGCUAAUACCGCAUACGACCUACUGGUGAAAGCAGGGGAUCUUCGGACCUUGCGCGAUUGAAUGAGCCGGUGUCGGAUUAUCUAGUUGGCGGGGUAAAGGCCCACCAAGGCGAUUAUCCGUAGCUGGUCUGAGAGGGUGACAGGCCACAGUGGGACUGAGAUACGGACCAGACUCCUACGGGUGGCAGCAGUGGGGAAGAUUGCAAAAUGGGUGGAAGCCUGAUGCAGCAACGCCGUGUGCGGGAUGACGGCCUUCGGGUUGUAAACCGCUUUCGCUCAUGACGAAGCUUUGUGUGACGGUAGUGGGUAAAGAAGCACCGGCUAACUACGUG